rnacentral:rRNA from 1 species
AUGGCGGUGGAGGUCGACGGCACCCGGAAGCGCGGGGCGGCGGCCUUCCUGGACGACCCCUUCGAGGUGCUGCAGGCGAAGCGGGGCCGGUACUCACCGUCCGCCACCGCGGCCUCGGUCGCCGACCUCGGCAUCAACAUGGAGUUCGACCCCGUCGAGGCGGUCCAGUCCGUCUUCCCCAGCGCCGAUCCGCAGCUUCUGCGGGGCUAUCUCGAAGCGUCGGGAAAUGUCUUGGAUGCUGCCAUCAGAAGCUUCAGGGAUUAUUUGGCAUCGGAUUCAGCAACGACCAAUGCUGGUGCCUCCUCAUCUGGAGUGGCAUCUGAUGUGCCGGUGAUGAAUACUCCAGCCAACAGGACUGAAUGGGCGGAGCUAAUUGUCAAGGAGAUGUCGUCCGCUUCAGAUCCGAAUGACACCAGGAAUCGAGUCUUCAGGAUACUUGAAAUGUUCGACAAAUGUGCCGCAAACUGCAGUACUCCUGAUGAGGCGCAUAAAAUGCGUGAGACGAAGGGCACGACGGAUGGCUCCGGCGGGAAGGUGAGCAGCGGUGGAGAUAAGCGAGGAAAGGAGUAG